UACGUAGGUGACAAGCGUUGUCCGGAUUUACUGGGCGUAAAGAGCGCGCAGGCGGUCGAUCAAGUCGAGUGUGAAAGCCCCCGGCUCAACUGGGGAGGGUCAUUCGAUACUGAUCGACUCGAAGGCAGGAGAGGGUAGUGGAAUUCCCGGUGUAGUGGUGAAAUUCGUAGAUAUUCGCAAGAACACCAGUGGCGAAGGCGGCUCACUGGCCCGGUACUGACGCUGAGGCACGAAAGCGUGGGGAGCAAACAGG
rnacentral:rRNA from 1 species